CCUACGGGACGCACCAGUGGGGAAUAUUGCACAAUGGGCGCAAGCCUGAUGCAGCCAUGCCGCGUGUAUGAAGAAGGCCUUCGGGUUGCAAAGUACUUUCAGCGGGGAGGAAGGUGUUGUGGUUAAUAACCACAGCAAUUGACGUUACCCGCAGAAGAAGCACCGGCUAACUCCGUGCCAGCAGCCGCGGUAAUACGGAGGGUGCAAGCGUUAAUCGGAAUUACUGGGCGUAAAGCGCACGCAGGCGGUCUGUCAAGUCGGAUGUGAAAUCCCCGGACUCAACCUGGGAACUGCAUUCGAAACUGGCAGGCUGGAGUCUUGUAGAGGGGGGUAGAAUUCCAGGUGUAGCGGUGAAAUGCGUAGAGAUCUGGAGGAAUACCGGUGGCGAAGGCGGCCCCCUGGACAAAGACUGAUGCUCAGGUGCGAAAGCGUGGGGAGCAAACAGGAUUAGAUACCCGCGUAGUC
rnacentral:rRNA from 1 species